CACAUCCGAUUGUCUACAUCGGAUAUGGAUGAUUGAGCCACUGACAUGGACUGAAGCCAUUUUGGACAACAUAUUGUUGUGUUUCAAGUAGCGGGGUUUUAAUUGUAGAAGCAAAAAGAGGGUAAAGGUAGUGGAGCUUGACCAUUUGGGAUUUUUCCCAAUGCUCUCAACCCUCGACAUAGGGUUCCAGUAGAGAGCAGAAGAAGAAAAGCAACUAUGCGAGCUCAAUGGGUCACUUUGGAAGAAGACCAUAAGCUUCGCGGCCCAAAAGGGAGAUGUUCCAAAAGGAUGAUCGGACCAAGAAGCAGAUCAGAAGGAAGACAAAGCUGAUCCAAGGGCUAAGGAUAAGAAGGCAGUUAACUUAGUGAGUUAAUUGAAGAGGAAGAAUCAAGAAGUUUUGGUCGUUACUAGGUUCUUCUCCUUUUUCUCGUUUUCCCAUUUUAAGUUUCUAACUUUCCCUAUAUAAAGGGAAGUCUUGUGAUGUAGCGAUGUACAACAGUUUUGUUGUAGGUGACAGACACCACGCUUAUGUUUCGACUUGUGAUUCAGUUUUCAAAUUCUUGCUUUAGUUUUAGAUUUUAAGCUUUCUUAAAGAGUAGAAACUUUGAUCCUUGCGUUGGAGUUCUUGGAGCUUUCCAUUGGGUGACAAACAAUGGAUUCUUAGGACUUUGGUAUUUUGUAAUUAUGAGUUUAGCUUUCAAUAAAGCACGUUUAUGUUUCAUAUUUGAUUCACUUAAGAUUUGUUCGUCAAUUUGCCAUUUUUGAUCCAUUUCCGUUUCUGUACUUGCA
rnacentral:lncRNA from 1 species